rnacentral:rRNA from 1 species
CCUACGGGUGGCUGCAGUGAGGAAUAUUGGUCAAUGGCCGGAAGGCUGAACCAGCCAUGCCGCGUGAAGGUCAGUGCCCUAUGGGCGUUAAACUUCUUUUGUGCGGGAGCAAUAAUGGUCACGUGUGGCCAGACGAGAGUACCGUACGAAUAAGCAUCGGCUAACUCCGUGCCAGCAGCCGCUGUAAUACGGGGGAUGCAAGCGUUAUCCGGGUUUAUUGGGUUUAAAGGGUGCGUAGGCUGGGAGGUAAGUCGGGUGUGAAAGGCGCGGGCUCAACCCGCGGACGGCACAUGAUACUGCGAGACUAGAGUAAUGGAGGGGGAAGCGGAAUGCGCGGUGUAGCAGUGAAAUGCGUAGAGAUCGAGAGGAACACUCGUGGCGAAGGCGGGUUCCUGGACAUUAACUGACGCUGAGGCACGAAGGCCAGGGGAGCGAAAGGGAUUAGAUACCCGGGUAGUC